rnacentral:miRNA from 1 species
CCCCAUUUUACUGUACGUGACA